CUCCUCUUCAGUCCUUCAGUUCAGGAUGGAUUAAACCUGUCCUGGACCGUUCCUCUGUUCUGUCCUCCUCUUCAGUCCUUCAGUUCAGGAUGGAUUAAACCUGUCCUGGAUCGUUCCUCUGUUCUGUCCUCCUCUUCAGUCCUUCAGUUCAGGAUGGAUUAAACCUGUCCUGGACCGUUCCUCUGUUCUGUCCUCCUCUUCAGUCCUUCAGUUCAGGAUGGAUGAGUUCAUCUACCUGGAUCUUUAACUGACAGUAUUAUUAUGCACAUUUCUCUAAAACGUGUUACUGUUCUGUCAGGAAUCCGUCUAUCUAAUAACUGUUUUCAGAUUUCUUUUGUAACACAAUGUUAUGAGCAGAGAUGCAGUUUUCACAAAUUGGUAGCGGAUUGAUUUUUUUUAUUUUAUUUUUUAAAUCGUAGGAUAUUUUUUUGUAUCUCGAUCUGAUGCUUACAGGAUGUGAUGUAAUGCCUUGCAGUCAGUGACUGUCAGGACAUGUUUAGUAACAGAGAGGGAUAUGGUAUGUCUCUGAGUUGGUCUCGUUAGCUCUCCCGGUACCCUUUUUUUUAUAUGUGUUCAGUAACGCUGAGUGUGCUUUCCGUUUGUCUGUGUUAAGACAGUCUUGUUGUUGCCUGUAGUGGGAGAUUUGAAAGGUUAGUUGUAUAGAGGGGACUCCUCUAGCCUGUUGGCAAUGUAUUAGCUGUGGAAGAUAUUAAACAAGGUCUUUCUUCUUCAUCGUCAUCAUCAUCAUCAUUAGAAAUGUUAACAGUAGAAAGCUUCCUGUUUCUAAAUAAACCAUUUUUUAAAUUGCCUGAAUUAUUAAUGAUCCUGAAAUAAGGCGAAGCACCCUUCAUCCCCAUCUGUAGUCCGCUCAUACCAGCCAGCAGUCAUUAUUGAUUAUUGAACCAGCGAUUACCGAUCUAGCAUCUCUCCCGUGUCCUCCUGCGUUGUUUGAGGGAAUUCCAAGCUGUUCUUUCCUCUUUUUAUCCUAUGACCAUGUGAGAACAGUUCUGCUGUGUGUGAACGAACCUGUCCAGGCCUUCGUUCAUAUUUCAGUGUGUAGUGGGACCAGUUGCUUUCUAAACGGUAGUGUCCAUAUUUUAAGCAGUGGACUUAAGUCAGUGGUCAUAUCUGGCUAUAUCUAACAGAUGGAAAUUGUAAUUUGAAGGUAUCGAAAGGGGUCUGAAAUACAAAACGCAUGAACUCGUGAAAGAACCGCUGCUGCCUGGAGGAUGUGGAUCGUAACAUAUAUAAAUUGAUCUUCGAGUUUUAGCGUGAGGCCUAUUUUCCCGUUCUCGUUCACUCACUGCGCUACGUACUCCUUUACGUCUCUGACGCUACGCGGGGCGUCGUGUCGUAGUUGAAAGGAGUUUGAAUGUCUUAACUCUGACCGACCUAAUUAAGGCACUAUACUCCCUCCAUUGUGUCUGUCCCAAUGAAAUAAGCGGUAGAUUACCAACGGGUUGGACUGUGUACUUGACUACGGUUGUCAUUUAGCAGAACGUAGACAGACCUUCAUACUAGGAACGUUAGAAUCAUACGAUAUGAAUAUCUGUUUAUCAGCCACGUGAUAUACGAGACGUUUUAACGUGACGGAAAAAAAGCUUAAAGCUCUGUCUCUCUCACUCAUCGUCCGAGCGGAGCCGUUGCUAUGGAUACUAACAGGCAGAGAGCACACGGAGCAGAAGCAGGACAGUGCAGGGCCAAGAGAUGAGCGGGGCCCAGAGAUCAGCAGCUAACAGAGAAAGUUAUGGUUAGGACAGAUGAUAAAAUGAAAGAAAAAAACAUUUGUUUUUCGGUUAGGGAUUUAUUUUUAUUAACGAUCCCAAUUUUGUUUUAACGUUCACAACCCUACUUCGCUAGUUCAUUAUUCGUUUCAUCCUCCUACCUAUCAUUUUAAAACCUUCAGCGUGUUAAACGACUUUACUGUCCUGUCUCUGACUGGUCAUAUUGUCUCUCUGUCCUGUCUCUGACUGCUCAUAUUGUCUCUGACCUGUCUCUGACUGCUCAUAUUGUCUCUCUGUCCUGUCUCUGACUGCUCAUAUUGUCUCUGACCUGUCUCUGACUGCUCAUAUUGUCUCUGUCCUGUCUCUGACUGCUCAUAUUGUCUCUGUCCUGUUGCUGACUGGUCAUAUUGUCUCUCUGUCCUGUCUCUGACUGGUCAUAUUGUCUCUCUGUCCUGUUGCUGACUGGUCAUAUUGUCUCUCUGUCCUGUCUCUGACUGGUCAUAUUGUCUCUCUGUCCUAAGUCUCUCUCUCUCUAUCUCUCGUUCGUUCGUUUGUUCGUUGUAUUAAAUGAGAGCGGAUAACCUGUCGAACCUUUUAUAAAGUUAGUAGCCUGAUUUGAUAUGAAACACUUUUCCCCAAAGCCUUUUUGAAGCCUGGGUCACGUUCAUCAGGCACCAAAUGGACACAAACGGGGAGUACUAUUUUUUUUAUUUUUGUUUUGUGUGUGUUGCACAAUGUUUUUGAAACGUAUUGCUACGAUGGGCCCUAAUGAACACGACCCAGGUGUGACGCCCAUGGACAAACAGGCAGCAAGUCAACAAGGAUAUUAUGAACAUUUUUAAAGGGCUUUUACCUCAAGUGUAAAACCAGUGUGAGAAAGAGACAGCUUAGGGGCUGUAGUAGUGUAAUUCAUCCUGAUUCUGUUGUCUUUUUUUUUUUUAAUUAAAGUUUUCACAUAAUAACAAAAAUAUACUUGUCCAUCUUAUUAUGCAACUGAUGAACUUUUUCUGAGUCUUCUUGUGUGAAAGACUGGUCUCCUGACAUGCGUUGAUAUGAUUGGUAGGGCAAGGUGUCUCAACUGUCUGUCCUGUUAGUUUUUUUGCAUGUCUCCUGAUGAACGUAAAACUACCACCUGCAUCCCAAAUGGAACACUAUUCCCUACUUAGUGCACUACUUUACACCAGAGCCCUAUGGAACCCUAUUCCCUAUAUAGUGCACUACUUUAGACCAGAGCCCUAUGGAACCCUAUUCCCUAUAUAGUACACUACUUUAGACCAGAGCCCUAUGGAACCCUAUUCCCUAUAUAGUGCACUACUUUAGACCAGAGCCCUAUGGAACCCUAUUCCCUACUUAGUGCACUACUUUAGACCAGAACCCUAUGGAACCCUAUUCCCUACUUAGUGCACUACUUUAGACCAGAGCCCUAUGGGCCCUAUAUAGGGAAUAGGGUGCAGUUUGGAACUAAGAGUUAGUUUCAAAACCACUUGCUAGAGGAGCUCUGGAAAAAUGAUAACACUUUACUUCAAGCCUGCAGGUAUAAUGCUUCAUAACUGCUCAUAAGCACCUAUAAGAGUAUUAUCUUGUCUCUUUAUGUCAACUGACUCAAACGGCUGGUAUUUCAUCCAUUAUGAGAUGAGACAUUUAUAAUAGGGUCAUAUGCUUAUGACAAUGCAUUAUAGCCGCAUCAUAAUGCAUUAUAACCUCUGGUAUUAAGUAAAGUUGUACUGAAGUUACGACUGGUUUUUCACUACCGUCCAUGAUGAUAGACCCAUUAUCUCCUACCUGUUCUACACUGGUCCCCCACAGCGGUUAGUCUCCUACCUGUUCUACACUGGUCCCCCACAGCAGUUAGUCUCCUACCUGUUCUACACUGGUCCCCCACAGCGGUUAGUCUCCUAGCCUGGUCCCCCAGCGCGGUUAGUCUCCUAGCCUGGUCCCCCCCCCCCAGCGGUUAGUCUCCUAGCCUGGCUCCCCCCC
rnacentral:lncRNA from 1 species